rnacentral:rRNA from 1 species
UACGGAGGGUGCAAGCGUUAUCCGGAUUCACUGGGUUAAAGGGUGCGUAGGUGGGUCUGUAAGUCCGUGGUGAAAUCUCCGAGCUUAACUUGGAAACUGCCAUGGAUACUAUAGGUCUUGAAUACUGUGGAGGUCAGCGGAAUAUGUCAUGUAGCGGUGAAAUGCUUAGAUAUGACAUAGAACACCAAUUGCGAAGGCAGCUGGCUACACAAAUAUUGACACUGAUGCACGAAAGCGUGGGGAGCAAACAGG